rnacentral:lncRNA from 1 species
UUUGCUGCCUUUCUAAGUAAGUUUUUAACGCGGUGCUGGUGAAACAUUAAGGGGCUUCCACACAGGAAGUGACUCGCAGCAAUGUGGUUUCCAGAGAAGUCAGUGACAUUCAGUGACUUCGAGUGACGAUGGUCCCAGGUUAAACCUUUCUCAACUCCUCUGGUCUCCACGUCAUUGCAACUGAAGGUUGGAGGGAGAAAGCUACAAGAUGCCUGCUGAGUGUGAUUCGAUGGAAAUAUCAGAUCCCCUUUCUCACACCCUCCUCCUGUCCACCGCCGAUAGUCCGAUUUUAGCCGAAAACCCGCUGUGCCUUCUGACCCCGGAUCAUGAGGAGCUCGUCACCAUGGAGUCUGUGGAAUACCAGCAGGAGGAGGUGUGCGAAGACAUGGAGAAGGACCCCCUGUCUGACAGCGGUUACAUCGAGCUGCACUAUUACGAGUCUCAGCAGUACCAGUACCUUGUGCUGCCGGACGACACCGAGCUCGACCUGGAGACCGUGGAGAUCCUGCAGCUUGAUGCCGAGGCCCAGGAGGCCGCCGGGUCACUGCUGGACCUCGCAGGCGGUGGAUAUUAGUUCAGAUCCUCAAAGAAACCCUCCUGGUACGACAACACUGCCCUAUAGCCUGUUUACUGCCCUGUAGUGAUGUUACAGUAUAGAUCAAAUUAACUGAUGGAGUAUCGUUCCACAUAAUUUCAGGCUUCCAGUACACAAGCUGAAUAUAUCACCAUAGCAUCCCAUCCAGCCUGAACAGAGCCUUCAAGGUGUAGAACUGAGACAAAAGUAUUAAAAAUUAAGUGAUUCCACAGUGAUUUUCUAACAUGUUAACAUCGUUCUCAGGGGUGGAAGGAGUGCUUCAAGCUCAAUACAGAGUGCUGUUUCUCGACUGAGAAGUUUCCCAUUUUCAGGGGUGACUAACACGCUGUUGAAAUGUUCACGUUUAAUGUACAGCGAACAGCACAUUGACUCACUUCCACAUCGUUACCAGUAAAAUAUGAAUAUGUGUUACCCUCUUUCACUUGUUCUAAGCGGUGACCGUCUUUUCUUUCUAAGAAAGUUUCUGUAGGACAUUCAAAGUAAACUGUAGUUGACAGUCUUUGUUGUUUUCAGCAACACUGUUGCUUUGAUAGUUGAAGAAAACAGAUAAAAAAAAUUAUUUAUAAUGUAGCUAUGAUUUUAGAUUGUACUUAAGAAGUACAGGGAAGCACUUCUCAGUUAUAAUAAGUACUUCAAAUUUUAUUUCUAAUGGUUUUUAAUGUCCAUUAUUUUCAAGAUUAUCUUUGCUUGAGUUUAUUUUAUUUGCACGAUGUCUUCAAUCAGGAACAGUUUGAUUGACUCACUGCCAUUUUAACCACUUUACAUGUCGGUUACACUGAAAUUCUCUUCAUAAAUUGUAUGUAUUUACAACAGUUUUGGGUUUUGUAAUCUAAUAAAUAAAAUCUGUGAUGCCGUUCUUCUGAGCUGUGCAUCGGUUGUUAUAGUUUUGGUUUUAUUUUGUUUUUAAUGUUUGUUUUCCGCUUCAGUGAGUUUGCUUGGUUUGGUUUAGUUUGAUUUGGUUAAAUAAGUUUUUAAUGAUAAUGUCAAAGUUAUGAUUUAAGAAAUUCAGAAUAGAUUUGUACAGGACAAAUAAAACAUUUUGUGCAGCCAGUGCAUUCACAGUUUUAAUAUGUGCACCGGUCCCUCUGUAUACCGCACUGGACCCCUACAUGUCUUCAUGUGAGUGGUGGACAUGUAGCUCUGUGGGCUAACGCCUGACCAUCAGGCACUUGCCCCAAAAUAGCUUAAGAACUAUUCUACAAUUAUGGGACAUUUUCUUUUCCAGCCAUGAAUUUGAAAAUAGUCCAUGCACAAAAUACUAAACAUACAUUUGUUGUGUGCACCUGAGACAAAAUGCGGACCCAGUUGUUGAAAAAGUUGUUCCAAAAUAUUAUUUCAACUCCUCAAAAAAGGACAUUUAUCUUUUGGCCCAACUUCUUGAUAACCAAAUUACAUGUCGUAUAUAACUGUUUCAAUAUUUUGUUUACGCUUACAAUUAUUUAGCUAUCUUCAAGAUCAACAUAUUUUAAAGAACAGUAAUUAUGAACUGCAAGUUAUGUCUCACAACAUAUGUGCCAUCCUGUGACCGA